rnacentral:rRNA from 1 species
AUACGUAGGUGGCAAGCGUUGUCCGGAAUUAUUGGGCGUAAAGCGCGCGCAGGUGGUUCCUUAAGUCUGAUGUGAAAGCCCACGGCUCAACCGUGGAGGGUCAUUGGAAACUGGGGAACUUGAGUGCAGAAGAGGAAAGUGGAAUUCCAAGUGUAGCGGUGAAAUGCGUAGAGAUUUGGAGGAACACCAGUGGCGAAGGUGGCUUACUGGUCCAUUACUGACGCUGAGGUGCGAAAGCGUGGGGAGC